rnacentral:misc_RNA from 1 species
UAACUUCUAGUGAUUUUGUUGAGAUUCUUCAGAACCAGACAACUUCACAAGUGGACUCGGUUUGUUGUGAUGACCGGAGAUCUCGAGAUUCCGGAGAGAGCAAGAAGAGGCCAACUGCCAAGGAUAGGAGGGGUUGCUACAAGAGAAAGAAGACUUCCCAGUCAUUCAUAAGAGCCUCAUCUACAAUAGAAGAUGGUUAUGCAUGGAGAAAAUAUGGGCAAAAGGAGAUCCUCAAUGCUAAAUACCCAAGGAGCUACUUUAGGUGCACCCACAAGUAUGAUCAAGGAUGCAAGGCAACAAAGCAAGUCCAGAGAAUGGAAGAAGAUCCACAAAUGUAUCAAACCACUUAUAUUGGUCACCAUACUUGCGGUGAUAUUCUUAAGGUUCCACAAAUCAUCACAACACAAGAUUGUUCGCCUUGGGAAUCUUAUAAGCUUACUUCCAAUUCAAACACUCUUACCCAAAUGGACCAUCAACACCAUCCACCCACCAAAAUUAAGCAAGAAUAUAAGGAAGAGAAUCCAAGCGAUCUAACAGAUAAUCUUUCAUCUUUGGA